GACGAACGCUGGCGGCGUGCUUAACACAUGCAAGUCGAACGGAAAGGCCUCUUUCGGGGGGUACUCGAGUGGCGAACGGGUGAGUAACACGUGAGUAACCUGCCCUUGACUUUGGGAUAACUUCAGGAAACUGGGGCUAAUACCGGAUAGGAGCUCCUGCUGCAUGGUGGGGGUUGGAAAGUUUCGGCGGUUGGGGAUGGACUCGCGGCUUAUCAGCUUGUUGGUGGGGUAGUGGCUUACCAAGGCUUUGACGGGUAGCCGGCCUGAGAGGGUGACCGGCCACAUUGGGACUGCGAUACGGCCCAGACUCCUACGGGAGGCAGCAGUGGGGAAUAUUGCACAAUGGGUGGAAGCCUGAUGCAGCAACGCCGUGUGCGGGAUGACGGCCUUCGGGUUGUAAACCGCUUUCGCUCAUGACGAAGCUUUGUGUGACGGUAGUGGGUAAAGAAGCACAGGCUAACUCCGUG
rnacentral:rRNA from 1 species